GAUGAACGCUGGCGGCGUGCCUAAUACAUGCAAGUCGAGCGAACGGACGAGAAGCUUGCUUUUCUGAUGUUAGCGGCGGACGGGUGAGUAACACGUGGAUACCCUACCUAUAAGACUGGGAUAACUUCGGGAAACCGGAGCUAAUACCGGAUAAUAUUUUGAACCGCAUGGUUCAAAAGUGAAAGACGGUCUUGCUGUCACUUAUAGAUGGAUCCGCGCUGCAUUAGCUAGUUGGUAAGGUAACGGCUUACCAAGGCAACGAUGCAUAGCCGACCUGAGAGGGUGAUCGGCCACACUGGAACUGAGACACGGUCCAGACUCCUACGGGAGGCAGCAGUAGGGAAUCUUCCGCAAUGGGCGAAAGCCUGACGGAGCAACGCCGCGUGAGUGAUGAAGGUCUUCGGAUCGUAAAACUCUGUUAUUAGGGAAGAACAUAUGUGUAAGUAACUGUGCACAUCUUGACGGUACCUAAUCAGAAAGCCACGGCUAACUACGUG
rnacentral:rRNA from 1 species